CUCCUCCUGUAUGAGGAGUGAGGUGAAAAAGAGGAGGCAAAAGCACUGCUAGAAAAGGAAAGCUGAAUAAUGCACGAAGGAGAGAACAAGAGAAAAAACAGACCGACGAGAUUUUAUUCUUUUGACUUGGACUUCUUCUAAAGUCAUCUUUCAGGGUAAAUGAACAACACAGCGCAAACAACCUGGGAAAACUCAGUCUCCCUCCUGCACUUUCUGUCUCUGUGCAGAUCGAACCUACAGCCAUCCUGAAAGCUCUGCAAUAGUUUCCAUGUGAUUUUUAAUUUCCUGGUUCUGCCUGGAACCCGAAGUGUGAGUGCUGGAAGCCUCAGGAGGAAAAACGGGUAUUGUCAGAUUCUGCCCUCAUUUUCCAAGAUUCAGGACUUUCAGAGAAUAUCUCAGCUCUUAAAGUGUUUGGAGACUUCACUCUCACAAGUGGCUGACUGCCUUCUGACUUGAGUCAACACAGCUGGAAAAUGGAAUAAAAAAAAACCCAGAAAUCUCAGUGAAAACCAGAUGUUGCCAUUGAGCAGAGCUACUGUGUUAAUAAAGCACUAGCACCCUUGCACUCCACAAAACAAAACGAGUACCUCUAAUAGAUUUCCCAAACCACGUCUUAUGCCAGAAAGACAAAAAAAUAUUUUAAGGCUUGGGGUGUACUGUGGAGAGCUAUGGUUCUGGUGCUGGCACUUGGACUGCUGCACAGUAAGAUCUCUACUUUUAGGGAGGACGGGCUGCGUUUGUUAUUUGGCAGGAAGUGAUCAGGACAAGUGAUUGCAACAUUACUGCUGGACCUGUGGUCGGUGGGAUCUGAAUGAUGUGUUAUGAAGCAUGAUUUGGUACAGCGGUGCUGUCACGUGCCACACAAUUGGAACAGGGUCUGGAGUUUAUGUGCACCCCCAGGGCACACAGUGGUACUUGCAUUGUAGCCGUUAAAGAAAACAUCUCAGCACUGUAAGCAGCAAGGAAAAGAUUCUGGGACAGGUUUUGCUUAAAAAGUAGCAGAGCUUCUUUGCAUAUUCAUAUCAAAGAUAUUUUUCUAUCAAUUACAUAUGCCUGACAGGAUGCAGAUGCAUUAUGUGAUGUGUUAUAUACAGAGCUGAGCAGGAAUGCAUGCAAGAACUGGAAAACAACAGUGGUUUGUUUAAACGUCCUGUUUCAUCUCAUCCAGCCAACAUCCCAUUAUGAGCCACAGGGGGCCAGCUUUCUGAGGCCACCAAGAUGUCAACAGUUGGAGGAAACGUUCACUCCAGUGGCCCUGGGGUUGCUCUGAAAGCAGUCACUGACAUGACAUCCACAGCCUUCUUCAACAGAAGCAGCGCUGUGGAUUUGUUAGCAGGCUACUUUGAGUUGCCACAAACAAGAGAAAGCUCAUGUCUUUUGAGAGAAAAGCUAACCUCUCCUUCCCGUCACAAAACACCCCUGACUUUUCUCCUCCCUUAGCAAAGCCUAUACAGUGUCCUUGGAGUAGAUAAAGAAAGCAGACAAGACCCACACGCCAUGAGGUUGCAGCCCGUGUGCCGCAGCCACUGCACGCAGGCUAAUGUCACUUUGGUCUGAACCAGAUGUCACAAGAGAAAUGAUUUUCCCUCCUUACACAGCUCUGUUGUGACUGAACCCUAAGAUCAGUGGCAAUGCUGACUGUCAUGGUUCUACCACUAAGCUACGGUCGAAUCACUGGUAUGGCUUGGACUACUACGAACAUCAACAUCUUUAAUCCGUGGGUGGUUUACGUUUAGCAGUGAUAGCAAAAGUAAAGCCAAAUUAAAAUUAUAAAUAUGAUGAGGUGUUUCAAACACGGAGUGGUAUGUUGUAAAUAAAGCGCUGAAUCCUUCCAAUGCCCUGACGCUUAAAGAAAUAAAAAUAUGGCUCCUCUCAUGCGGUGGUCUCCAGCCAUUUUUUAAACAACAGAUGGGGGAGCUGACUCAUGAAAAAGGUGAAAUGUUUUGCAUAGGGUCACAGAUCACAAAUCCAGAGCGAGUAAAAUCAGAGUUCCUUAAGCUAAUUCCCUUGCUUUGUCACCAGAUAAUGCUGGCUGCAGAACACACCAGCAAUAAAUUAGACUUUAAAAAACUCAAGGGCAUUAGCAAAUUAUAAUUAAGCACACGUUCUGCAAUGAGAUGAAUUGUUUCUGUAAUAAGAGGCAGCAAAAACUAGUGCCUAUAAAUUGCACAUUGUAUCAGAGUAUUACUUUCUGCUUGGAGACAACAAUAAAUACUUUUGCCAGAUAUUGAUGAUA